GCAAAAUGAAAAAAAAAUUUAUUUCCUCAGUGUUUUUAUCCACCGUCAAUACUGUAUUUUUGAUGCAAUAUAUUUGCAAAGAAAAAAACAAUCUCAGCUUUUAUUUUCCAUUUUAAACAACUACAAUAUUUACAAGCUAUUUAGAAUAACAAACAUCCAGACACACACACACACUCACGGACCCACGCGAGUACAUAUAUUCUUAUCUCUGGUUUAUACUGAAUGCUGGUAAAGGCAAUGAAUGCUUUCAGAGCCCAUGAUCAGAAAAGGGAAACCCAUUUUCCUUCCUCACACAGAUCUUCCUGAACCAUUUUUAGCAUUCUUCCUUCCAUUUCCUCAUGCAGAGCUCAUUGUAGAAAGGUAAGGUAACCAGUUUUUACAAUUUAUUUUUACUUAAACUGUAAGCUUUAAAAAGCAUAAGCAGACAUGAUUUCCCCCACAUUUCUGUUAUUUUGGUUGCAGAAUCAAGCUUCAGGUAUAAAAAAUCUUGUUCAACCACAGUCACACUAAACCCGAGAGUCAUCUGGAGCAGCCAUCUCAUUUUCUACCUACUACUCUGUUCUGAAUACCAAGGCAUCACAUCAUCUGUGCAAGUAACACGCAGGUAUCCAUCCUUACCAUCAUCUUCCAUGACCAUUGUUCCUUCUAGCAUGGCUCCACUGAAUCACAAAUUGUCAGGUGCAGAGCUGGGCAUAGGAAAAAAGGUCUGACCCUAUAUAAUAGGUAUGUCUUACGAAAGCGUUGUCAUGUAACCUUGCGAUGACAAUCGGUUCUGGUUCCCCCAAAGAAUGUUGUUGUGUUGCUUCCAUAAAAUGACAGAUAAUAAAGUUCAGCUCGUAAAUAGAACUUAUUUACUCUACUUCAGAAAGAAUAUGUGGCUGAUAGGCAAUAAAGAGAAAUUCUUAUACGUAAUUCUUGAGAUGACCCUGGUGAGGUGAUUCAAAGCAGAAAAUAUAUUUGUUUCAAGCAAAAUUAAUGCUCCACUCACAUACCUACCAGAUCUACUUGUAUAAUAAUUAAUUCCUUUCCAGUCACAAUUCUUACUAAACAUUUCACAAGCUAAACAUGAGAAGGCCUAGGUGUAUACCAACCAGAUUUUUUAAAUAGAAAAAUGAAGAAGAGAGAAGCUGGUUUUUAAAUACUUAAAAACCCCUACAGAUACCCAAUGUAAUAGUCAAACUUACACUGCACAAAUACAUGGUCAUAUAUGACUUUUCUCUUUCUCUAGAUCAAUAAAACUCAAUUUCUACAUAAGACUGAAACCAAAAAGUUCCCAAAUUAAAGAAAAAGCCUUUGGAAUAAAAAUUGAUGUUGGAUACCUUAUCUGAACAAUUUAUCAUAUCAAAGGAAAAACUAGACUGGGUCUAAGUCUAGGCAAAGUAAUUUGCAUGAUUACAUUAUACACUACAGAAAAGAACAAGAAUGAAUCCUGAGGGCUUAAACAAAGGGGUGGGGGAUUGUCUAUAUUAAUGAAAGAAUAAGGAAGAUAAACAAAAAGGUAAUUAAUCUGGACAGCAGUUUAUAACUUAAUCACUAGUAAACAUAAAUUCAAGGACUUCUCAAGCAAAAUUACUAAGGUAUCUUUUUCUCAAGUCAUAUAUUUAGGAGGAAAGAUUUUUGAAAGUUAAAGAAGAUAAUUUUAGACUCUGGGCAAAUCAUAAGUUUAAAAGACCUCGUUCUGGAUGAGUGACUCAGUGCAGCAAUCCACCAAAUGAAGAAUUUCUAAGCAGAGGCAGAAGCAAAGUGGAAUUUAUUAAGGCUAAGCUACCCUUGCUUAGAUUUGAGGCUGUUUUUUAUAUGCUGAUAGAGGAUAGAAAAAUAAAGCAACACAGGAAGAAAAACACAUCUUCCCAAUAAGCUUAGUCUCUACAUAAAAACUUACAUUUUCAUUGCCUGAUAUUUGGUGCACAGAGUGAUUUUCCACACCUCACUCAGGAUAGAAACAUUGUCUACUUCUGUUUCAAGGAUUAGUAGAAGUAUCUCAGAUAUACUUGAAAUAUUUUUAAAACUACUUCAAAUCUAAUGGAAGCUCAUCUUCCAAUAAUAGAAACCCAAAGAAGGCAGAACACUGAUGAAGUUUAUUCAUUAAUUUCCUGAAAGGUAAUUAAUCUCCUCUUACCUUAAAAAAUAUACAGUCUCACCACCUACUCUCCCAAGCCCCUUAAAUAUCAACAGCUUAUAUUAAUCUAGACUCUUGGAAAAUUUAGAAUUCUCAAGAAAAAAGUGAAUAUUUAAAGUUUUAUCAAGUACUGAAAAUGGUGUAAAAAGAGGACUCAUACACACGUUACAAGCUGGAAGAUUAACCAAAAGUUUAAAUUUGAGUUAUAAAAUGAUUUUUGCCAAAAAAAAAAAAAAAAA
rnacentral:lncRNA from 1 species